rnacentral:rRNA from 1 species
AAUUCGAUUAACGCGAAGAACCUUACCUACUCUUGACAUCCAGAGAAGCUUUUAGAGAUAGAGGCGUGCCUUCGGGAACUUUGAGACAGGUGCUGCAUGGCUGUCGUCAGCUCGUGUUGUGAAAUGUUGGGUUAAGUCCCGCAACGAGCGCAACCCUUAUCCUUUGUUGCCAGCGAUACGGUCGGGAACUCAAAGGAGACUGCCGGUGAUAAACCGGAGGAAGGUGGGGAUGACGUCAAGUCAUCAUGGCCCUUACGAGUAGGGCUACACACGUGCUACAAUGGCGUAUACAGAGAGAGGCGAGCCUGCGAGGGGAAGCGGAACUCAGAAAGUACAUCGAAGUCCGGAUUGGAGUCUGCAACUCGACUCCAUGAAGUCGGAAUCGCUAGUAAUCG